rnacentral:rRNA from 1 species
GGUUACACUCACCUACAACAAUAGCCUAUGAUCGGUUUUGUAGAUUGCCGUUGACAUAAAUUGAGUUCGUACAAAGCGACAGGCGGAGGUUCAAUUCAAGACCUGAUCGUGGCUCACCAUAUUGUUCUCAUUCGCGGGUACGCUACGAAAGUGCGUUGAGAAACCGGGAUUAGAUACCCCGUUAUUCGUACCGUAAAAAAAGUCUGAUACCGGAUCACUACGAGUUGGUUCUUAAAAGUUAAAUGAAUUGGCGGUCUCUCAAAAAAACAGGGGAAUCUGGGCAUUAAAGGAUGAUCCGCCUACAUUUAGCCCUUACCUUAUUGCGUGUGUAUGGCUGUAGAAUCUGCGUCACAAUGCGGGUGUGCAACGUUCUUUGUUAGCAUUCGAGUAAAUCCGAGGAGGCUAUGAAUUUAUUCUUCGUGUGGGCGUGAGGCCUUUCUUGGUUGGUGUGACAACACACGAGGGGUUUUCUGGUUUCAGCGGACCCUUUUGUUGCCUAUUGAAUUCGGCAAGGAAAGUACUUCAGGUUGACAUGCAGCUAUGGUAAGGUCAGCCUGGAUGACAGUUGUUAUAACACACAUAAGUCGGACUGUAAAAAUAAAAAAGAGGGAAGGAAACUUGCCCCCAGGAAGAAGGACUUGUAAGUAAAAGUUUCACAAAUAAUGUUGCUUUGAAUUUAACUUGGGGACGUACAUACCGCCCGUCGCUCGCGGGGAAACCGGUGAUAAGUCGUA